rnacentral:lncRNA from 13 species
AAAUGAUAAAGAAAAGGAUAAAGAGAAUAAAUCAGCUGCUGCUAAUUCUUGUAAGACAAUAUCUUUCACGGAGAAGAAUGAUAACUGUACUGAAAUUAAAAAAAAGUAUGCACGUGUCAAAGAGAAAAAUAUUGAUUUGGAGCAAAGAUUGAAGAAAAAAGAUGCAGAGAUCGAAGCUCUGAAAACACAAGCAGAGCAGGAGCGAGUUUUGAUAGCUGAGUGCAUGCGCAC